rnacentral:rRNA from 1 species
UUCUAUUAAAAUUAUUAAUAGUAUAAUCUGCUCAAUGAUAUAAAUAGCCGCAAAAAUGUGCUAAGGUAGCAUAAUCAUUCGCUUUUUAAUUGAAAGCUAGAACAAAAGAUUAAACACUUUAAAUUAUUUAUUAAUAAUAAUAAUUAAAAUUAUCUUAAAUGUAAAAAGACAUUUAUAUAAAAGAAAGACGACAAGACCCUAUUGAACUUAACUACAGUUAAACUGGGGAAGUUAAUCAAUUAAAAUUUUAAUUUACAUCAAACAAAGACCUACUAUAAUUAAUAUAAUAACCAAGUUACCAUAGGGAUAACAGCAUAAUAAUUAUUUAAAGCCCAUAUUUAAAUAAAAGAUUGUGACCUCGAUGUUGAAUAAUUAACUAUAUUACGCAAUAGUAAUAAUAGUAAGUCUGUUCGACUUUUUAAAGAUUACA